rnacentral:lncRNA from 1 species
CACUGAUAUACUAUGUUAUCAUUGUGUCAGAAAGGAAAGGCUCUGACUCCUCGACAUGCCCUAUACCAACUAGUCUAAAUUUUCAUAUGCAUGUGGCUCAUGUGCUACACUUUAGUGUAAUGCAGUAAAAUCAAGAAGAAAAAAAGUGAAAUAUGUUGUGUCUUUUCCGUGAGAAAUUCUAAAAUGCAUAAGAGAUAAAGAUUUUGCUAAGUUACUGCUGCUGUAACUUUCAAUUCCUUUAAUAAUCAGGGUCCAGCUACCAUGCCCCUCGGGGCAUGGUACUCGUUUUUUUUGUCAAUAUCCCGUGUAGCCGUUAGAUUAUAAAUAAUUUAAUCCAACGGAUGGGUUUGAAAGGGCUAAAAGUGAAUAACAGUGGGCUACCGUCGAAACCAGUUUCUUCCAGUUUGUUUGUUCGAAAUUAGUUUUAGGGUCUAUAAACCCUUAUUGGCCAUUUCGGGCGAUGACUGCAGUUUGUCGAACGCAAGGAAAUUGAAGUGCGCAAGGUGUAACUGCGGUUGGGGUAGCGCUUCCGUGUGCGAUUAUUGAAUUGGCUUGCAGUGCUUGCAACUUGUGGCGGCAGUAUUGAACGAGGCAGAAGGGAUUGGGUUAACACAAUUAAAGGUCAGUAUAAUUUGAAUUUCAGAUUAGAGAUAGGAAUCAUGUGUGGGUGAUAAAAGUGGAUGGUGGAAAUUUAACGUGUCGUUUGGACAAUUGGAAAUUUUGGGAGUAGAGGGCAAAAAAUGUAAAUUUAGAUUAAGGAUAUUUCCUGCACAUCGCGAUUGGUGGUUACGUUGAGAAAUUGAACCCAGUUGAAUUAAUGAAGUGUUGUGCAUAUAAAUGGUUCCAAAAUAUAUUUUGUACAACGAGUGAAAAAUUGAGGGGUUUCGGGCAAUAAAUAUAAAAAAUAAUUGGGGAUUAUUUAGCAGCAGUUUAAUGUGGCGUAUUUAAAGUAAUAGGAUGAAGAAGAAGGUUGGUGUUAUGUUGUGUAACUUGAUUGUGUUGCCGGCAAUUACUGUGCCUUUCUUGAACUUAGUCAUGACUAUGCAUUCGAAUAGAAUUUCAUAGAAGCACCAGACAUGUGACAUGUUAAUUAUCAAUUUCUACUGAAUUAUUAAGAUUUAGAUAAUAAAAGUUUUCAUUUGUAGCAUAGUAAAGGGAUUAAUUAAUUGAUUAGUAUUGUAUGGUUGUAAGUAUAAGCAAUGAGAACCCAAUGUAUGACAUUGAAUUCCACAGUAGCGUGGGUGUUAAUAAGUUAACAUUGAACAUGCGUGGACAAUUAGUAACAGGAAAAGUGAAAUUGAAGCAAAUAUUUAAAUGAUGUGAAUGAGAAGCAUGAAGCUGAUGACAUGGGGGUAAUGGUACAUGCACUAACUGAAUUUGUAUAUUGUUUUCGUGGAGUUGAUACGAAAUGUUUUUGUUAGUUUCGUUUGGGGCCGGUAAUGUAAAUGAUAUGUAUUUGUGUUAUGCAUUAGUAAGGUAUGUAUAUGUUGCUAUAAAACAUAUUUUGAUGGUUAGAAAUGGCAGUGUGACUGAAAUUCAGGAAUGAAGGUGGUGGGGACAAAUAAGCGUAAGGAAUGUGACAUUAACAGAGGGACUGAAGUGGUUGGUGUUGAUGCAAGCAAUGAUGGGGGAAGAAAAAGGCAGUGCCGCAAUGGGUUCAUAAGAUAUUUGUAAGCUAUGUUAAUGGAAAAAUAAAUAAAUGAACAUAGGACAGUAACAGUGGAGUGGUAAGUAUAGGUUUUGACUAAUUAUUUUGGUAUUGAUACGAUGAUAUUGCAGUGGUGAAGUUGUGCGUCAGAUUAAGGCAAAUGAUGGAAUGGCAUGCAUUACAAAAGAGGUUAGUAAAUUAGCAUUGUAGAAAUAAAGAAAUGGUAAUCGCCACCGGAUUAAUGUGUAGUGAGUUAAAUUGGGUUACCAUGAUUGUAUUGUAGAUUCGAAAAGAAAUAGGAUCCACGUAUAAGAAUUUGCCACCAGAGGAAAAGUGUCGGUAUAAAAGUGAGGCGAAACGAGUAGGGAAGUCAAAAAUUGGGAAGGCAAAGUUCCCCACCAGAUGUGCUCCAGAUAGAUUAGCUGCAGCAGUUUUACAACUUACAGAUGAACAAAGAGUAGUUGUUCGUGAAAUGGGCUUUGGUAGUUUGUUACAACUGAACUGUGGCAGGCUAAAGAGGAAUCUUUGUGGAUGGUUAGUUGAGAAGAUCGAUAUUGCGAGGUGCAUUUUACAGUUGAAUGGUGUUGAGGUGGAGCUAAGCCCGAAGAGUUUUAGUUAUGUAAUGGGCAUAUCAGAUGGGGGUAAGCCACUUCAGUUAGAAGGGGAGAGUUCUGAAGUAUGUGCAUAUGUAGACAAUUUUACCCCAACAUCAAGGGGUAUAAACAUAACGGUGUUGGCAGGAAUUUUGCAAAAGUUGAAGUCAGCGGAUGAUCAAUUCAAAGUGACAUUUAUGAUGUUUGCACUAUGUACUAUUUUAUGUCCCCCAGGAGGUGUGCAUAUAAGUUCUGGCUUUUUAUUUUCUUUAAAGGAUGUUGAAAGUAUUCCAAAAAGGAAUUGGGCGACGUUUUGCUUCCAUAGACUUAUUCAAGGGAUUACAAGACACAAGGAAGAACAGGUAGCGUACGUAGGAGGUUGUCUGCUAUAUCUACAGGUACUUUUUAAUUAUGGUAACAGUUGCAGCCAGUUCGCAACAUAUGAUAAUAUUAAUCAUGAAGUGUCGAAAGAUAUGUAAGUUAGGGUAGCAUAUUGAACAACUGUCAUGGUAGGCUGAAAAAAUCGAAAAAAAAUAGAUUAGAUGAAAUAGUUAGUGAAUACAUAUGAUCGAGGGCAGAAUUUAAUCCUCAUAUACAUAAAUGGACAUACAUGUGAGGAUUAAUGGUAAUUGAUCUGUAUAGAUCUGGACAGUUAUAGUAGUUUGGAAAUUAACUCGUUUGCAUUCAAACCGUAUGUAUUGUACCAUAAUCCCUGUAAGUGUUCGUUUGCAUGCAGAUGUUGUACUUCAACUCUAUUGUAUACGGAAAGCUGGAGAGGGAUAGGUCAAUGUGUCCGCUUGCUUUGUGGAAUGUAAACGAGAUAAAGAAGUUAAUGAAGUGGAUAGACAGCAAAGGAGGUUUUGAUAGCCAUCAGGUCAUAUAACUCGAAGCGAUAAGACAAUUGUUGGCUGUUUUUGCCAUUAACAUUUUGAAUAAUAAGUAUGAGUUGACGACCACUUGAUUGAGAAAACAAACAUCAUAUGCAUUAUAUAUCAUAUGAAAGUUGAUGAGGAUUAAAGGUUUAUAAAAUUAUCAGUGGUUGUCUUUUAGUUUUGCGAACCCCAUUUAUUAUGAGGUAAAAAAAUUUUUCGCAGGUGUCUAUCUCUUCCACGUCGAAAGAAGGCUGUCAAUUACAUUCACUCAGAAAAUUUCAGAAAGAAAAAUUUGGCAGUUUAAAUACGGAUGCAGCAAAUGAGACAUUUGUUAAGGUAGAUAAUGUGUCCAAUCUGGUUGAUGACGUAGCGGAGCUGGUGACCUUAUCUAGUAGGCUCGCAGGACAUGUAGAUAGGCUAAAGGCAGUUGGGUCGCGCACAAUGAAGGGAGGUGCUGAAAAAAUGAGGGAUUGUUCAGGGUAGAAUGUUAACCAGUUAUCAUAAUUGUCAUUAUUGUUUGUUAGCAUGCACAAUCACUUCUUCUACUUCUGUUAUGCUAUUUGUAAUCCUAAUAUAACUCUUUAUAUUUUAUAAGCACCUUCAUGCAAAAUUUAUCCCCACGGUUAAUGUUAUUCAACUAAUUGACUUACUCAAACUAUUUAUAUAUUACGUCAACUAUCCAGGUCUACAAAUUACAUUGAUCCAAAUAUAUUACACAUGAGGAAACCAAACGUGGUCACUGGAAAACUGCCAAUUCAGCAGUUAUUAGUUGAAGGCGAUGGUGGAAAUAAUACCCUGGAUGACAAUUAUCGUCGAUAUCCAGCAACACAAGUCAUGGCUGCAUCACCAGAAUAUUGCUCAUGCAAUGCACAUGAUGAUGCCAGAUUUGAGCAUGGCAAAUUAUCAAAAGAUCGAACCACUACCCUUAUAAAAAGGAGAAGGACAAUGAGACAACUUUUUACUGCUACACAAUCUCAAGGCCAUACUGGGACUACCAGUUUCACACCUAAUACAGGUCAAAGGUUUCAACCACAUGUUAAAUGUUGUGCUGCUUCCGACAAAGUAUACGAUGAUGGCCGAAAUGUUGUUCCUGACAUAGCUUAUGAUGAUUACGAGCUUGAAGGAUAUGCUUCAGAUACUGACAAGAUGACACUUUACAGUUCUCCACAAACUGAUGAAGGUGAUUUUACAGGGGAUGGAUUUUUAUUCGAAAAUGUGUCUAACAAGAUGAUCAUUCAAUUGGGUCAUCAUUUUAAGGACGUGUUCCAAUUUAGAAGAGCUGUUGAAGUUUUUGCAAUACGAGAAGGAUUUAAACUAUGCAUUAUGGAGAAUAGGAGUGAUUAUGUUAGUUGCGAGUGUUCUGCAUUAUACUGUGAUUGGAAAAUCACUGCAUCAGCUGAUUCAAGUGGUCGUACAUUUGCAGUAACCGAAUUCGUUAAUGCUCACAAGUGCAGCAGGUCUGCUACAGAGUUUUAUGACAAUCCAAAGUGGAUUGCCGCAAUGUUCUUUCAUACUUGGAAACAACAACCAAACCUUCAGCCGUAUGUCAUACAGAAACAAAUUGCAUCCAGAUACAAUGUGUCAUGCCCUCUUCCCAAACUACACGAAGCUUCAAAACGUGCAAAGGCAUUACUUGAUAUUGAUCACACGGAUGGAUAUUUAGAUAUAUAUCAGUACAUUGAGGAAAUGAAAAAGCUCCAUAACCGGAAUACAGUUAUUUUGGAGACUGAAAAUAAUGAAGCUGUUGGUGAUGCCACUUUCAACAGACUGUUUGUCUGCUUUGCUGAACCUGCUUAUGCAUUCAAGUAUGAAUGUUGCAAGAUGCUUUUUGUUGAUGGUUGGAAACUUAAAGGACCGUAUGAAAGUGUAAUGUUGGUGGCUGCAACUAUUGAUGGAAAUGAUGGCAUUCUCCCUAUAUCGUUCUGUGAGGUGCUUCAUGAGGACAUAGAUUCAUGGGUAUUUUUCUUGACCAAUCUUACAAAAGCUUUGAAAAUGGAACAUGGCGAAGGUCUCUGCAUUCUAACGGAUGGCGAAAAUGGUCUUGAUUAUGUCUGCGAAGAGUACCUCUUUCGCGGGGAGAUAAGACAUUGUUGCCGAAAUAUUUUCACCAAAAUGGUCAAAACUUUUCCGGAUGCACCUGUUCAACACUUAUUCUGGGCUGCUUGCCGUAGUGCUUCCAGUUACAAGUUCAACAACUACAUGAAAUUGAUAACGGAUGAAAGUGAAGAGUGUCAUGCUUGGUUAAUGGGUACAAAUUGGAACCAAUGGGCAUUGCAUUGCAUGCCUAACUGGGUUAAAAGUAACCACGUCACACUUAUGGUCACUGAACGUCUUCGCCGAUUCAUGAAAAGAUACUUGCACCUGAGCAUUACUCACAAGUUUACUGGAUUGACAAAUGCAACUGCUUAUCUUUUUGAGCAUCGAAGACUUCAAGGGUGGGAGUGGAUUUACCAGCGAAUUACCCCAACUGUCACAAACAUAAUUCAACAUCAUCUUAUUGAAGCCCGCUACCUGGCCGUGCAAAAUAAUAACGGCACUAUUUCAGGUGUUACGGAUGCUGCUUCUACUUUGUACGAGGUGGACAUGCAAAGAAAGCUUUGCAGUUGUGGCUUCUGGCAGAAGUCAGGUGUUCCAUGCGCACACGCAUGCAAGUGUAUUCUACAAAAGGCUGAAAAGAUCGAUGACUUUGUUGACAAAAUGCGGACAAUCUCUCAAUAUAGGGAUACUUAUGGACCGGGAAUGAAUUCACUGCCAAAUGAUUUUCCAUGGAAGUCCCAUGUUUCCACUGUUUUGCUCCUUCCUCCUCGUGCACAUGCCACAAUUGUACAGGACCCGCCUUACCCUAUUCCUCAUACAAAAUAGGUAAAAUUUCCAAGUUUCUUCUAAUAUAUAUUGUCCACACUAUGCAUUUAUUUCAAAUAUUUUUCUCAAAACAACCCUUUUGGUUUACUAUUUCACAUUGUUUAACCGUUUCAGAUCAGUCCUUAUUCGGCCACAACAGAACUUACUGGACAUGACUUCUUCCACCUACCAUCAAGCAGCAAUGAUGAAGAUUCAAUAAGUAAGUCUUUCUUUUUCUUUUUCAUAGUCUGAUACUAUGAAGUCCAAUUGUUAGGGAUAUCAAUCGACUUUACAAGUUCUUGAGCCAACUAUUGCCACAAUUUCAUUUUAAACAGAUAUGACUCAUAUCAUUGCAACCCAACUUUCAAGUGCGCACAAUAUUAUUUACCCUACAUUCAUUACUUGGAUAUUAUAAUAUUCAUCAUAUCCCACCUUAACAUUGGCAUUUGCACGCGCAUUGCUAACUAUAUACUAAAUAUAAUCACUGCAACCGACGAUAUUUCCUUUACUUCUCUGCAUCUUGUACUUAUUUUUAUGCAAUUUUCAGUACAUACCCCUACAUUUAUUUCACACAAUUUUCUCCAUCACAAGCCUUGCACACAAGCUUCAGCAAUUCUUAUUUCAUGUAAAUUCUACUUCUACUGUUUGUCUCCGCUAUUUGUAUUAAUACGUCCUAUGCAUGCAUAAGGCAAUAAUUUUAGGGUUUCACGGUAACCAAUUGUAUUUGUUGGUGUGACAGGGUAUUCGAUUGGUUGUUAAUCCUUACUUAUCUUCGGGUUCGGUUACUUGUGCGAAUCGUAUUUUUAAUUCGUUGUAACACCAUGACGUACAUAAUUUGUCUUCUCAUAUACAAUGAUUUAAUAUUUCACCUUCACGACAAAUCUCUUAGGGAUAUGAUAAAUCGUUCCACCACAUUACCUGCUCAUUAAUUGGUAACAUGCACUUCCUCCAUGAUUGCGGGUCUAUUAAUAUUUCAUUCACCCUAUGCAUUUCAACAUUCAAUUCCACGUGAAUUAUUUACAUAUGCAUGUACGAGCUCUUCCUUUGAUAUAAGUAAGUUAGUUGCAUUGUCAUUCAUACUUGACUUCUCAUUUAAAGGUUUCCUUUUCUCAUGUUGCAGCCCUGUAGCGGUGACUCUAGAGGGACAUGGCCUUUUGAUACCUAUGGUGUGCUGUGUCCUCCACAAUUGUCGCCAUCAAACGAACUCCACCAGCCACGAAACUUAUCCAUAUUUUGUCUGCUCCUAUAUUUAGUUAUUGCAAACUUUCAUCCACUAUAACUGUAUUUUGCUAUCAAUUAAUAGAUGUUAUUAACAUCCUACAACAUUGUGCAAGUUUCACGAUAAUGUGUUUCCAACUUAUGUACUUUACCUCUUAUGUCGACAUUGCAGCUUAUAUUUUGUUCUCCUCCUGCUAGCACCUGCAAUACAAUUAUUUUCUCCAUAUUUCAAAUUUGUUCCUUCUAUUUUCAAUAUCCCUGAUCCAUUUCUCCCUUUCCUUUGUGUUUGUGGCAUUAUUUUCUUUAUUUCAAUUAUGCUCACUUCUAGUUUUAAUCUUGCUCAACUUUGCUGUUAACUUACUGGCUUCAACUUGACCAUAUUGCUUCCAUUCUACCAUAGGUUAUUCUUUAAUCAAAUAAUCUAUUUUACUGAUGUUGGUCGUUUCCUCCUCUGCGUCUUAACUGACUACUCCAUUUUCUUCAUAGUUAUGUUUAUUUUUAAUUAAUUCAUUACUACUAUAAUUAACAUCAGUUAAUCUCAUUAUUUCUUCCUUGCUGUAGUCUUACUUUCACAUGGCUUCGGUCACAAUUGACAUUAUUAAAAAAGGGGUAAUUUUUUAAUCGUCUUUUUAUAUAUGCUUGCUACUACAAAUACUUCUUCCCUCAAACGAUUUUUUGUUAUAUACACCAACUUUUCUUCUUUCCUUUAACGCAUUUAUUGCAACAUUAAUAGUUCAUUUCAUCAUUUAUAUUGACUGCCUCUCCCGAUUUCUUUAAUCUGCUGCGUGCCAACUCCUUACACGUCCGAUUUUUCUCUUUUUCAUCCAACGGCUAGGUCACUACCUGACAAAGCAAGGGGGUUCCGUGCCCAAGGGGGUUCCGUGAUAAUCAUAUGGGUCCUACCACCUAUGACAACUAUUUACAUUAUUUUGAAAGGUUGUAAGUUACAGUAGUUGUAACUUAGUAGCACCCAAGACAUAAUAUAAUCAAUUAAUACAUAUAUGACAUGUGUAUUUAAAUUUUAUAUAACCACUAAUUACUUGUCGGUUCUUCAAAAUAAAUACACUUAAUUAUUUACUUAUUGCAUAGAUGAUAUGGUACUUUAGAGGUAUUCUAAAAUAUCUCUUAUGCCCUUCUGUUCAUUUUCAACUACUAGUCAAUGAAGUGGCAUUUUACAUGCUGAUAUGGUGCCUCGCAAAAACUCUUCUGUUUCGAGAUUGAUGAUCCCAUGGAAAUGGUACAAGUAUCUCUUCUAAUGGUAUUUUACAGGUUGUUGAUGAAAAGUUGCAUGUGUUUUAGAAGACUAAUGGUAUUUGCAUUUUACUUGCAAAUUCUAGUAAAAUCGGCUAUACAUGGAUUCUCUUUGGAUGAAUUUGGAUGAAAGCUCGUUUAAUUCCUCUAUUUUUAGGUUAGUAUCUUUUUAGUCACUAUAUAUUUAGAAAUACCUCAAAACAUCUCUAUUGUUAAAUUAUUGACACUCCUGCCGUUACUUUUUGUUCUUUUUAGCUUGCUUUUACAUAUUACUCUCUCGCAAUAAUGUUUAUUUUUUGGACAUUAAUAAAAAUAAAUAAAUUAUCAAUUUAAUCCCAAAAUAUUAAUGUAGAACAUUCUGCUGAGAAGUUAAUAUAUUUAUGUUUUUAUUAAUGUCCAAAAAAGUUUGUAAUUUAAUUUAUUUUACAAUAUUACUUUUUUUUACAUAUGUGAGCUUUUAGAAAAAUUAGUGUAUAUAUGUGUGUGUGUGUGUGUCAUUUUUAGGUUUAAAUUGAUAAUUUAUUUAUUUUUUAUUAAUGUCCAAAGAAAUUAUUGUAAAAGGGUAAUAUUAUAGAAGUUAAAAAGAAUAAAAAAUAAAAAGGCAGAUGUGUCAAUAGUUUAACUGGUAGUGUCGUUGAGGUGCACUAAAUUUAAAACCUUACCACUAAUAUAAAUAAUUAGUACAGAGCGAGUAAGGAUCGAUCCCACAGAGACUAUGCUAGUUGUAUUUAUUAUCAACUCUAAAGCAAGAUUUAAAAUAAAAUAAUAGUAGUAAUAAUAAUAGUAAUAAUAAUAUAAAUUAAUCUAACUAAAGAAAAUGCCAAUUAUAAAUAAAAGGGGGGAUUUAUGAAUUUUUAACUAAAUAGUAAGAAAUAAAAAAACUAAAAUUACGAACAAAAAUUUAAUAAAAACUCUAAUUAAAGGAGAAAGAAAUAAUAAUGAUAAAAACUUUAGUUAAAGGAUAAUUCGCCACCACCCAAGACAAGAAUAAACCAUGAACAUUAAUUAUAGAAGAACAUAAACAAUCUAAAUUAAAUAAAUUGAAUGAUAGAAAUUAAAAAUUAAUCAUGUGACAUAUUCGGGGUUUUGAAUUCACCCUCAACCAAAUAAAAAUCUAGCCUAACACAAUUGAAUUGGGAAUAAGAUAAUUGACAAAACCAAUCAUGGAGAUUAAUUCAAGCGACUGCCUUUGCUUUAAUUUAAUUCCGACUGCUGAUUUUUUUCUUCUCCUUGCGGCUGCUGAUUUUCCUCUGCCCGAAUUGCGUCUGCCCUCUUCUCUCUCGCUCUCUGGCAGCUCUCCUUUUAUAAUGCUAGUCGACCAAAUUCUUCUCCAACAAUUCUAAAGAAAUCAUUUUUCAAUUCUAAUUGAAAUCCUUUUCCAAUUUAACGCCACCAAAAGCCAUUAAUUCCAUCUUUUGAAAGUCAAUUGCGGGCCCAUUUAAAUUGCUUUCCACUUUUGCAAUGCCAUGCACGUGCACUCCAAUUGCCAAUUGGAAAAAUUAAAUCUUUUAAUUAUUCAACAUUUCUCAAUUGGAUUAAUUGCUUUGAUUUCUUCCACUCGGUUCUAUCAAUUCUUGACUAUAUUUUUGUCUUCCAAUUUAAUCUUUAUUCCUUUUCAAUUUGAAUUUCUUCAUGCUUUGAUUUCUUCCACUCGGUUCUAUCAAUUCUUGACUAUAUUUUUGUCUUCCAAUUUAAUCUUUAUUCCUUUUCAAUUUGAAUUUCUUCAUGCCUUUUUUAUCCACAAUCUCCAAUUAAUUCCCUAUUCAAUAAAAUCAACUAAAAGAACUAGAAUAUUUAAGAUCAAAACAAGAAAAAGAUGGAGAAAUUAAUAACAAAAUAUAUGGAAAAUAUGCACUUAUCAUUAAUUGCAUGGAGUUUUGAUGUAUUCUUAAAAAUAUAAGUUACUAACCUCAAAAUAUAGGGAUUAAAAGAGUUUUUACGUAUUCUUUUCAAUACACUCUGACUUGUAUUCUGUAUGUUUCUGUUCACUGUAGGACCAUUAUAAAGAAAUAUCAACAUCGUUGAUUAUUCUAAACACAUGGAUUGGCAGGUUAGAAUUCCCUCAUGAAAAAUAUGACUACUUUUUGCGUUCUGGUUUGGGUUCAUGGUUCCUUUUCUUCAUUCUUAAUUUUUAUGACUUCCACAAUAAAUUUCGCUAGUUGAAAUAAUAUUAAAUUGUACAACAUACACACACACACACAUAUGUAUAUUGCUUAUUACUUCGGAGUACUUAGGAUAUUUUCUUGUAUGGGUUGAUCUUAACAUAAUUCUAAAGUGUUUUUAGUUACUGCAAGAAAUUGAACGAAUUAAACUAAAAAAAUAAAAGAAAUAAAUAUUAUGUAGUUUUCAUUUUGAGAUAUAUUAUAAUGAAAGGAUCAUCUACUUGUGUUAGCUUUGUUUAGUUUUAAAAAUCUCAUGUCACUUAAAGUCAUGUAUAUUAUUAGCCAUUUAUACUUUCUCUUGUUUUUAUAUUCAUAAUAAUCCUCCAAAUGCACAUUAUUGUAUUUGUCAACAUGCUUCAAGAAAAUAAGGUCAAGGCAACAUGAUUAUAACAACGUGUUAGAGUGUUCUAUUUGCAACAUGAUUAUAACAACGUGCUAGAGUGUUCUAUUUAUUUAAUGUCAAGAAAAGUAGCUGCUAAAUUCUAGAAGCAGCCCAUUUUGGACAAAGAAAAAUCAAAGAGGGCUGCAGCAUCUUUGAAGAAGUAAAAUUGGCGGCACACGGUUUUGACGUUGAAGAAGCCAAAAUGUAAGAAAAAUGGUGGUGUUGUAGCAAAUUUUGACAAGAAAAAUAAAUAAAAUAAUAGCCAAUUUUGGCUAUAAAAAGAGAGCUCCCCAUUUGGUUUUGGCAUCUAAUUUCUUUAUCUCAUUUUCUUCUUCCUUAUAGAGAGCUAAGAAUUGAGAGUAUAGAGUUUUAAUAACUCAUGUGUUUUAAUAACUCUUGUGUUAGUAGUGAUUUGAGAGUUUGAGUUUAUUGGUGUUUGGGUAGUGAGUUAAAAUAUUACAAUACUUGUAAUUGCUUUUCACUAGUAAAAUAUUUUCCUUCUAUUUUCGCCCGUGGACGUGGGCUAAAACUGAACCACAUAAUUUUUUGUGUCCUCUGUGUGUGUUUGUUCUUCAUUUUCCUCCAAUUUCAUUUUAGUUGUGCCCCUGCUUCAACCAUAGAUUUUCUAACACUAAUAUCAAAGCUACUGGUUGUAUUUUUAGAGUCGCAGUAUUAUUUCACAUAUAUAGUAUUCUCGUGAAAUGGUGGGAGCCAAUCCUAACUAAAGUAGUUCAUUGUAAAAAGUGAUGACGGUAAAAUACGAAAUUAAGAAGUUCAGCGAAAAUAAUUUCUCGUUGUAGAAAAUGAAGAUGAAGGUUGUAUUGAGGAAAACUAAUUACUUGGCAGCAAUUAGAGAAAGACCCACGAAUAUAACUGAUGACAAGUGGAAUGAGAUGGACGGCAAUGUAAUUGCUUAUCUACACCUGGCACUUGCAGAUGGGAUGUUAUCUAGUAUGGCAGAGAAAAAGAUAGCUAAGGAAAGAUGGGAUACUCUUACAAAAUUGUACGAGGUCAAGUCACUGCACAACAUGAUCUUCUUAAAGUAGAGAUUUUAUCCUCUUCGAGUAGCGGAAUCUACAUCGGUGACCAACCAUAUCAACACAUUGAAGACUCUAUUUUCACAUAUCAACUCAUCAUUAAUCUGACAAACAACAACCAAGCAGACAGUCUAGCUUUCGAUGAUGUUGCAACCUCCAUAUUAAAUGAGAGCAGGCGGAAAAAUAAGGAAGAUAGGCAAGCAAGUUCGCAACAAGCAGAAGUACUAUCGGUGACAAGAGAGAGACCAACGGAACGUGGUCCCAAUGGGAGUUACAAUCAUGGUAGAUCAAAAUCAAGAAGUAAGAAUAAUGUCAAAUGCUACAAUUGUGGUAAGAAAGGGCAUGUCAAAAAAGAUUAUUGGAACAACCAGAAGAGAUGAGAGGGUAUAGUUCUUGUAUCAUCAAAUGCUCAGGGAUGUGUAGUAAGUACCUUAAAUGAUGGCGAAAUUCUCUACAGCAAGGCAACAACUAUUUCAAAAGACAGAAAACAACUAUAUAAUGUCUGGCUUAUAGAAUUGGGAGCUACCUAACAUAUGAACUCUUGGAGAGAGUUGUUCCACUGUUAAAAUAAAAAUGUUUGAUGGUACAGUUCGCGCAAUUAAGGAUGUACGACACGUCAAUGGCCUAAAUCAAAAUCUAUUAUCCUUAGUACAAAUAGAUAGUCAUGGGUACAAAACUCAUGUGGAAAAUAUGAUCAUGAAGAUAGUUAAGGGCGCACUUGUAUUAAUGAAGGCAGAAAUGAUUGGUGUUAAUUUAUUCAUGCUUAAAGGAAAAACACUACAGAAAGUUGAUGCGUGUGUCGCAUCAAAUGGAGAAGAGUGACGAUGAUGUGACAUUUCAAGCCUAGCCAAAUGUCAGAAUAAGGUUUGAAGAUUUUCUCUGAGCAAAAAUUGCUUCCAGGUCUCAAAUUGGUAAACUUACCAUUUUGGGAGCAUUGUGUUAGAAAUAAGCAGCAUAAAUUGAAGUUAAGCAGAUCUGUUGCUAGAAGUAAAUGUAUUCUAGACUUGGUUCAUUAUGAUAUUUAGGAAUCACCAGAUAUGUCCAUGGGAGGUGCAAAGUACUUGUUGACUUUUAUUGAUGAUUAUUUCAAGAGAUGUUGGGUGUAUGUAAUCAAGAAAACAUCAGAUGUGUUUCUGGUAUUCAAAUGGUACAAAGCGCUGGUAGAACUUGAAUUCAAAAAGAGGAUAAAGUGCUUGAUGACAAAUAACGGUGGAGCGUAUACAAAUGACAAGUUUAUUGCAUAAAAUAAGCAAAAAGAUUUUCAGAAGCAGUUCACAGUGGCAUACACUUCCCAACAUAAUAGUGGCAGAGCGGAUGAACAAACUUUUAUAGAAAUAAUAAGAGAUAUGUUGAGGACUGUUGGUCUACCCAACUUAUUUUGGGCAGAAGCAGCCAAAACUGUUUGUUAUAUAGUAAAUUGGUCGACAUCCACAGCAAUUAGGUUAAAGACAUUGAUGGAGAUGUGGACAAGAAAGCUAGUUGAUUACUCUCACCUACAUAUAUUUGAAUGUCCUGUGUACGUGAUGUACAAUGCCCAAGAAAAAAUAAAGUUGGAUCUAAAAUUUAUAUGGUGUAUCUUCUUGGGGUAUGCUAAUGGAGUAAAUUGUAUUAUCUGUAGGACCCCACUGCCCACAAGAUAGUCAUCAGCAGAGAUGUUAUCUUUAUAGAUGAUCAACUACAAAGAGAGAUAAGGAUGAUAGCACUGUAAAAGAAAAGUCAAAGACUGUGCUGGUAUAUGUUGAAAAUAAUCUGGAAAAAAAGAUUCAGAUUCUUCUGAAGCAACACCAAAGCACGAUAAACAAUAACCAGUUGAGUCCGAGGCUCGAGAAGUUCGUUAGUUAACUCGUGAGAGACGAUCGCCAAUGUGGCACUUAAAUUAUGUCACAAAGAUCAAUGUUGCAUGCCGUCUUCUGAUAGAGGAUAGAGAACCAUAAACUUUCUAUGAAACUUUAAGUAACUCAGAUUUUGCUUUGUGGAUGACAGUAAUGGAGGAAGAAAUUGAGGCUCUACACAAGAAUAAAACAUGGCAACUUGUACUACUACCAUUUGGAACAAAAACCAUUGGAAAUAAAUGGGUCUACAAGGUCAAGCGUGAUGACAAUGAAUAAAUGGAGCGGUAUUGUAAAAGAUUGGUCGUAAAAGAAAAUGCUCAUAAAGAAGGAAUUGACUUCAACGAGAUAUUUUCUCCGGUGGUUCAACUCACAACAGUCAGAUUAAUCUUGGUGAUGUGUGCUACAUUUGACCUAUAUCUAAAGCAGUUAGAUGUGAAAACUGCAUUUCUUCAUGGAGAACUUGAAAAAGAAAUUUAUAUGCUCCAACCCGAAGGUUUUGCUGAAAAGGGCGAAGAGAACUUGGUUUUCAGGUUGAAAAUUUUUCUAUACGGUCUCAAACAAGUGCCAAGGUGUUGGUAUAAGAGAUUUAAUUCCUUUAUCAUGAGCUUGGAUACAACAGACUUAGUUCAAACCAUUGUGCAUAUUACAAGAGGUUUGAAGAUAAUGAUUUCAUCAUUUUGCUAUUGUACGUAGAUGACAUGUUGGUAACAGGCCCCAACAAAGAUCAAGUCUAAGAAUUAAAAGCACAGUUGGCUAGGGAGUUUGAAAUGAAGGACCAGCAAAUAAGAUUCUAGGGAUGCAAAUUUACCGAGACAGAAAUAAUAAGAAGAUUUGGCUUUCUCAGAAGAAUUACUUGAGAAAAUCUUGCGGCACUUCAACAUACAAGAUUGUAAGCCAAUUUAUACCCCACUUCCUAUUACUUUCAAGUUAUCCUCAAAUAUAUGUCCAAGCAAUGAAGCAGAGAGUAAGGAAAUGUCUCGAGUACCAUAUGCAUCAGCAAUGGAAAGUUUAAUGUUCGCUAUGAUAUGUACAAGAAUGGACAUUGCACAAGCAAUAAAAGUAGUUAGUCGACACAUGGAGAAUGCUAGUGGAGAACAUUGGAAAAUUAUGAAGAGGAUUUUGAGAUAUAUCAGAGGAACCUCAGAUGUUGCAUUAUGUUACGGAGGAUCAGAGUUUAUUGUCAGGGGCUAAAUGAAUUCAGAUUUUACAAAAGACCUUGAUAAAAGGAAAUCCACUACUGGCUAUGUGUUUACACUUGCAGAAGGAGCUAUAAGUUGGGUUUCAAAACUACAGACCGUUGCGGUUUUAUCUACAACAGAAGUAGAAUACAUGGCAGCUACACAAGCUUGCAAGGAAACUAUUUGGAUACAAAGAUUAUUGGAGGAGCUCGGACACAAAUAAGAAAUUUUUUUUGUAUUUUGUGACAGUUAGAGUGCCUUGCAAAUUGCAAGAAAUCCAGCCUUUCAUUUCAGGACAAAGCACAAGGGGUACAAUACCACUUUGUUCGAUAAGUAGUGGAAGAUGAAAGUGUGGAUUUGCAGAAAAUUCAUACUAAAGAGAACCUAGCAGAUGUUUUACCAAGCCAAUCAAUGUUGACAAGUUUGUAUGGAGUAGAUUCGCUUGUGACCUAGCAGAGACAUAAGCAAUAUGACAAUUGAAGUGGGAGAAUGUCAAGAAAAUUAGCUGCCAAAUUUUAGAAGCAGCUCAUUUUGAACAAAGAAAAAUCAAAGAGGGCUGCAACAUCUUUGAAGAAGUACAAUUGGUGGCACACGACUUUGACAUUGAAGAAGCUGAAAUGUAAGAAAAAUGGUAGUGCUGCAGAAAAUUUUGAGAAGAAAAAUAAAUAAAUCUUGUGUUAUUAGUGAUUUGAGAGUUUGGGGGUAUUGAGGUUUUGGGUAGUGAGUUAAAAUACCACAAUACUUGUAAUUUAUUUUCACUAGUAAAAUAUUUUUCUUCUGUCUUCGUCCAUCGAUGUAGGCUAAAAACCGAACCAUGUAAUUUUUUGUGUCCUCUAUGUGUGGUUGCUCUUUAUUUUAUUCCAAUUCAUUUUAGCUGUAGUCCUGCUUCAGCCAUCGAUUUUCUAACAUUUCAUUCAUUCAAUCUGUAAAAAUCAUUUCCAUAAAAAUCUAAUCCAUGGAUUGAUGGAUUUGAUUAGAUUAAAAUUUUUUUAAAAUCCACAGUCAAUGAAUUAGAAAUAGAUUUGCUUCUACAAAUUUAUAAAAAUCAGCAAAUUAUAUAUAUAUAUAAAAUUUAAAAAUGUUAUACUAUUAAUAAAUAAAUAGGUUAAAAUUUAGUUAGGGUGGACAUUGACAACAAUUAAUUAUGUAAGCUUUCAAUUUUCAACUUUGGUAUUGAUUUAAUUUUAAAAUUUAAGUUAGUUUUCAUUCAUUGAUCUAAAACAUCAAGAUUUUUUCUUUUGGUGGGCUAAAGUUCGAAACUUUGAAUGGCAUCCUUAAAAAACAAAUGGUUUUUCAGAAGUGGUCGUGACGUGUCAUCACGUCCCAUCUAUCCUACACGGAAGUUGAAACCAAUUACUCCAGCGUUUUCAUAAUUUUUUUAAAGAAAGAAUAGGGAGUAAAGAUGAAAUGGUAUAUGGCUUCAAAAUUAUGCUUCUUUAGGAACGUACGUUGAUUGAUUUAACAGAUGCUGGGUGAUAUAUCGCGUUCCUAAACAAGUACUUAAACUAUUGAUUUAUUUAAUCUUUUUAAAUUUGAAUUUGAUUGGUAAUAAAAUUAUUUUUGUAUUAAAAUAUUUAUUUAAUUAUUUUAUAAAUAGAUAGAAAGAAAUUUUUUUUAAUUGAUAUCGAAUUCACAAAAGUGCAAUGGGAUAUAAAUUAUGUCAAAUCCACAUCAAAUUCUUAGAGUUAUGAAUUAAAUUUGGAUUAAUUUCAUUAAUUCAUGAAUUGGGUGAGAUUGAAAAUUUAUAACGAUUUUACACCUAUUGUCAUUUAUUAGAAUUUUUUCACAACGCGCUUUUGUAGGACGUUGUGAAAUUGAAAGCCCAUUGAAGAGUUUAUAACAACAUUCUUUCGUUUGUUGUCAAAUAUUAAAAUUAUUUUACAACACACUUUCACCAACCGUUGUUAAAUGGAAGUUUUCUGAAAUUUGUACAAAUUAUCACAAUCUACCGAUACAUUAAAAUCCAUUAUCUAUUUAGACAGUAGAUACAUACAUUUGUACUAUAUAGCCCGGAAAUCUGCUCCCACUAACUUUUGAGUUGACAUCUACCUGCCCAGUCUACUUUUUGUUGAUAAUCAUUUUGUAAUUUAUUAAUUUGUUUUCCGCAAAAGUACUUUAUAACUGUAACAAAUAGAAUUUCGAUGUUAGUCCUCAACAUUAAGAUAUUGUUUGCAACUUUGUAUGCCUUUUUUUCCUUAAACUUAGUUUGUAUAUUCUUAUUUCUCCAUAAAACAAGAUUUUAAUGUAAUAAAUAGAACUUUUAUUAGUAGAAUUGAAUUUAUGAAUUUCUUGUUAUUUCUGCGUGCAUUUAUUGUGUAGUUUAUAGAAAGACUCUUUAAAAAAUUUGUAUGCAGGAAAAAAAAAGAUAAAUAAAAAAAGAUUAUACAACAUUCAUCCGAAUGUAUGGAUGAUGUAUGUGUCUUCUGGUUCAAUAUUGACCUCGUUCGCACAGUAUGAUGUACGCCCCCCCACCCAAAAAAAAAAGAAUAAAAUAUCUUUGUACUAUUAAGACUUAAAAAUUAAACGCUUUCAAAACUCAGAAAAAAUGAGUAAGAAAAAUCAAUCACAUGAGCUUCUUCUCUGCCUAUAAUAACCUCGUGUAUCACCACAAACCACAGAAUAAUUUGAGAAUCUUUGCCAAGUAUAACUGUAAGCUAGCUUACACUACAUCUGUAUAUCCAAUGUCUUCUUGCAUUAAUCCCUCAACCUUGGUUACCUCUAUAAAUGGUUUCAAAUGUCUUCCUCUUGCAACAAAUAAAGCAGCCAUCAGAAUCAUGGCCAAAAAUAAGCCAGUCCAAUGCCUUGUCAGCGCCAAAUAUGAUAAUUUGACAGUUGAUAGGAGAUCAGCAAACUACCAACCUUCAAUUUGGGACCAUGAUUUUUUGCAGUCAUUGAAUAGCAACUAUACGGUAUUCAGUAUUAUUAUUAUUAUUAUUAUUAAUUUCCUUUGUUCAUUUCAAAUUGGCACCAUGAAUAACUAAAAACUAAAUGCUGUGCAUGUACAGGAUCAAACAUACAGAAGACGAGCAGAAGAGCUGAAGGGAAAAGUGAAGACAGCGAUUAAGGAUGUAACCGAGCCUCUGGAUCAGUUGGAGCUGAUUGAUAAUUUGCAAAGACUUGGAUUGGCUUAUCAUUUUGAGCCUGAGAUUCGGAACAUAUUGCGUAAUAUCCACAACCAUAAUAAAGAUUAUAAUUGGAGAAAAGAAAAUCUGUAUGCAACCUCCCUUGAAUUCAGACUACUUAGACAACAUGGCUAUCCUGUUUCUCAAGGUACCUUUCAUUAGUUCGCUUACUUUGUCAUGCACAUGCAAGAUCCGAAUACUUGAAUCGAUCUCUCUGUUUAUCUUAUUCAUUCCUUUUAAAUGUAAAAAAGUGGACAAAACCCAAAUCAAUUUUUUAACUCUCUAUCUCCUGAGAAAUUCGAACUCGACAAGGCCGCUGGGGACACUUAAAUCAUUCUCUAAUUAACAUAUAUGUGCAAAAGUUUUGAUGAAUAUAAUUUUUUUUUUUCGGUUGAGCACUGCAGAGGUUUUCAGUGGUUUUAAAGACGACAAGGGAGGCUUCAUUUGUGAUGAUUUCAAGGGAAUACUGAGCUUGCAUGAAGCCUCGUAUUACAGCUUAGAAGGAGAAAGCAUCAUGGAGGAGGCCUGGCAAUUCACCAGUAAGCAUCUUAAAGAAANNNNNNNNNNNNNNNNNNNNNNNNNNNNNNNNNNNNNNNNNNNNNNNNNNNNNNNNNNNNNNNNNNNNNNNNNNNNNNNNNNNNNNNNNNNNNNNNNNNNNNNNNNNNNNNNNNNNNNNNNNNNNNNNNNNNNNNNNNNNNNNNNNNNNNNNNNNNNNNNNNNNNNNNNNNNNNNNNNNNNNNNNNNNNNNNNNNNNNNNNNNNNNNNNNNNNNNNNNNNNNNNNNNNNNNNNNNNNNNNNNNNNNNNNNNNNNNNNNNNNNNNNNNNNNNNNNNNNNNNNNNNNNNNNNNNNNNNNNNNNNNNNNNNNNNNNNNNNNNNNNNNNNNNNNNNNNNNNNNNNNNNNNNNNNNNNNNNNNNNNNNNNNNNNNNNNNNNNNNNNNNNNNNNNNNNNNNNNNNNNNNNNNNNNNNNNNNNNNNNNNNNNNNNNNNNNNNNNNNNNNNNNNNNNNNNNNNNNNNNNNNNNNNNNNNNNNNNNNNNNNNNNNNNNNNNNNNNNNNNNNNNNNNNNNNNNNNNNNNNNNNNNNNNNNNNNNNNNNNNNNNNNNNNNNNNNNNNNNNNNNNNNNNNNNNNNNNNNNNNNNNNNNNNNNNNNNNNNNNNNNNNNNNNNNNNNNNNNNNNNNNNNNNNNNNNNNNNNNNNAAGAUUAUAAUUGGAGAAAAGAAAAUCUGUAUGCAACCUCCCUUGAAUUCAGACUACUUAGACAACAUGGCUAUCCUGUUUCUCAAGG